CUGCCGGGGCCCGUCGGGGGUGCGAAGGUGGCCGCGGUUGCCGCAGAAGUUGGUCCGAGAACCCGCGACGGCCCGCGCCGGGGUCGCAGGGCCCUCAGGACCGCCUCCUCGAGGUCACCGCGCCCAGGGAAGCCUGUGGCAGGCACAGGUGUUGUGAUCUUCUGCUAACAGGACCCACCUCCUGAGGGCCACCUUGGGACUCCCGACAGGAAGACAGCGGCCGCUUUACCUCUUCUCCAUUUCUGCCACUUCCAUGAGGCGGUCAGGACAGUGGGCCUGUUGGUGGGGUCCAGGAAAGACCCCACUCAGAGUCCUCCGUGGAAGUGUGGACUAGGAGUGUGCCUAGAACAGCUCCUGGCAGGGCGAAACACCCUAGGCAGCCCCUGUCCCGGCUGGGCGGGGGCAGGGCCCUGUAGUGGGAGUGCAGGCAUCCUAGAGGGACCCUUUGUGGUCACCACAGCAGGCUCUGCAGGUGAGGGGAGGCUGUGUAGCCUUGGGGCUGAGGACCUGCAGAGCUUACUCCCUGCAGCUGCGUUCUGUGGGUGACUCUCAAUGAACCGGGGUUCUCACUUCAGUGCUGGGCAUGAGCAGGAACGGUGAGAGCAGGACAGGCUCCAGCAUGGUCCACAGCACAGCCCGACCUCAUCCUCUUCCUGGACUGCCCAGUGGGGAGGCAGUGGCUACCGUGGGAUCCCUUCGCAGCAUUGCCUGGGAAGAUGACCUGCCCUGCAGGGCGCCGUGGGAUCUCAGCACCUCCACACUUCCCACAGCUCACACCAUUGUCUUCAAAGCAAAAUUUAAAACUCAAAAGUAAACUUUUCAGCAACUAGAA